CUGCAUCGAACGGUAGCACAGAGAGCUUGCUCUCGGGUGACGAGUGGCGGACGGGUGAGUAAUGUCUGGGAAACUGCCUGAUGGAGGGGGAUAACUACUGGAAACGGUAGCUAAUACCGCAUAACGUCGCAAGACCAAAGAGGGGGACCUUCGGGCCUCUUGCCAUCAGAUGUGCCCAGAUGGGAUUAGCUAGUAGGUGGGGUAACGGCUCACCUAGGCGACGAUCCCUAGCUGGUCUGAGAGGAUGACCAGCCACACUGGAACUGAGACACGGUCCAGACUCCUACGGGAGGCAGCAGUGGGGAAUAUUGCACAAUGGGCGCAAGCCUGAUGCAGCCAUGCCGCGUGUAUGAAGAAGGCCUUCGGGUUGUAAAGUACUUUCAGCGGGGAGGAAGGUGUUGUGGUUAAUAACCACAGCAAUUGACGUUACCCGCAGAAGAAGCACCGGCUAACUCCGUGCCAGCAGCCGCGGUAAUACGGAGGGUGCAAGCGUUAAUCGGAAUUACUGGGCGUAAAGCGCACGCAGGCGGUCUGUCAAGUCGGAUGUGAAAUCCCCGGGCUCAACCUGGGAACUGCAUUCGAAACUGGCAGGCUAGAGUCUUGUAGAGGGGGGUAGAAUUCCAGGUGUAGCGGUGAAAUGCGUAGAGAUCUGGAGGAAUACCGGUGGCGAAGGCGGCCCCCUGGACAAAGACUGACGCUCAGUGCGAAAGCGUGGGGGAGCAAACAGGAUUAGAUACCCUGGUAGUCCACGCCGUAAACGAUGUCGACUUGGAGGUUGUGCCCUUGAGCGUGGCUUCCGGAGCUAACGCGUUAAGUCGACCGCCUGGGGAGUACGGCCGCAAGGUUAAAACUCAAAUGAAUUGACGGGGGCCCGCACAAGCGGGAGCAUGUGGUUUAAUUCGAUGCAACGCAAACCUUACCUACUCUGACAUCCAAACUCAGAAUGCAUUGGUGCCUUCGGAACUCUGAAGGCUGCAUGGUCGUCAGCUCGAAAUGUGAUCC
rnacentral:rRNA from 1 species